ensembl:lncRNA
GACGCUCAGCCUAACGACGCUCAGCCUAACGACGCUCAGCCUAACGACGCUCAGCCUAACGACGCUCAGCCUAGCGACGCUCAGCCUAGCGACGCUCAGCCUAACGACGCUCAGCCUAAUGACGCUCAGCCUAACGACGCUCAGCCUAAUCGAGGUGUAGAUUACAUCUCACAUUCCAGUGUUCGAACUUGAAUAAAAGCCUGCAUGGGAUAUGUCUUAAUGCGCCUCUGUGCAGCCAAUGGCAAUGUACGCUUCAGGUAUAAUCAUGGGAGCCGCUUGUGGAUUUGACAGCUCUAACACAGUUCCACCUCUGACAGAGUUAAAACAACCGCUGUGUGAAUUUGAUUGAAUAGAACCCUUAAGGUGGAACCAUGAGUGUAUUGUGUUGGUGUUGUAUGGUUUUGUAGCUGUGUUGUAUUGUUUUGUAGCUGUGUUAUAUUUUGGCCUGGACCCUCAUAUCAAGUCAACUGACAUUGUUUUAACAGUCUGGAUGUUUAAAAAGAGAUGCUACUUAGAUAUUCUGUACCAGACCAGACCAGACUAGACUAGACCAACUCAGACCAGCUCAGCCCAGCCCAACUGAGCCCAGACCAGCUCAGCCCAGACCAGACCUGCUCAGACCAGAGCAGCUCAGACCAGAGCAGACCAGACCAGAGACCUGCUCAGACCAGAGCAGCCCAGCCCAGACCUGCUCAGACCAGACCUGCUCAGACCAGAGCAGCCCAGCCCAGACCUGCUCAGACCAGACCUGCUCAGACCAGAGCAGCCCAGCCCAGACCUGCUCAGACCAGAGCAGACCAGCACAUCUGCAGAGAACCAGGAUUGGGGGAAUCAAUUCCAGUUCCAUGUCAGGAAUUGAAAAAUGAAAUUUAUUCUCAAUGAUAAUAACUUUGUUCAGUUCUAAAUUUGGAAUCUGAAAGACAGAGACACAGAGAGAGAGAGACAGAGAUACAGAGAGACAGAAGAGAGAGAGAGAGAGAGAGAGAGACGAGUUGAGUCAGAUGUAUCUCUACAUUUCACUAUAAAAAUAAUCUUAAGUGUUUCUGAGCAGCGUGUGGGUCUGUCUGUGUGUCUGUUUGUGUCUGUGUGUGUCUGUGUGUGUCUGUGUGUGUUUGUGUCUAUGUGUGUGUGUGUGUGUCUGUCUGUGUCUUUGUGUCUGUGUGUGUUUGUGUCUGUAUGUGUUUGUGUGUCUGUGUGUGUGUGUGUUUGUGUCUGUGUGUAAAUGGAGCGAACGUGCGUAGAUAAUAUUUUUAGUCCCUUUUGUUGCCUAGCAACGAUCUCAGAGAGCUAUUGUCUCCUUAUCACUCUGCCUGUUGUUGGUUCGGGAGUGUGUGUGUGUGUUUGCGAGCCUGUCUGUCAGUAGCUGUGUGUGUGUGUGUGUCUGUGUGUGAGAGAGUGUGUGUUUGCGUGUGUCUGUGUGUGUGUGAGUGUGUGUGUGUUUUUGUGUGAGUGUGUGUUUGCGUGUGUCUGUGUGUGUGUGAGUGUGUGUGUGUGUGUUUUGUGUGAGUGUGUGUUUGCGUGUGUCUGUGUGUGUGUGUAAGUUUGUUUUUGCAUGAGUGUGUGUUUGCGUGUGUGUGUGUUUUUGCGUGAGUCUGUGUUUGCGUGAGUCUGUGUUUGCGUGUGUGUGUGUGGGGGGGGGGAAGUUGCUCCACAGCAACGCCACGUACAAACACACCUGUAGACAAUUAAUCAACACAAUCUCAAUGUGUUCAGGUUGGCAUUCUAAUUCAUCCUCCAUAGGACAGACAGGGUGCCCAUAUAAAGAGAUUACACACACACACACACACACACACACACACACACACACACACACACACACACACACACACACACCUGUGGAAAGGAUUAUCAAGCUAACUGCAUCAGAAUGUGGAAUUAGACUUUAGCACAUCCGGACUGUGUGUUGGUCUAGACUCUCACCGGACAGUUUAUUAGGUACACUGUGUAUAUAUGUGUCUGCGUGUGUGUGUGUCUGUCUGUGUAUCUGCCUGUGUGUCUGCAUGUGUGAGUGAGUGUGUGUGUCUGUGUGUGUGAGUCUGUGUGUGUGUGUGUGUGUGUGUGUCUGCGUGAAUGCGUCUGUGAGUGUGUGUCUGUGUGUGUGUGUGUCUGCGUGUGUGAGUGAGUGUGUGUGUGAGUCUGUGUGUGUGUGUGUCUGCGUGAAUGCGUCUGUGAGUGUGUGUCUGCGUGUGUGCAUGUCUGUGUGUGUGUCUGUGUGUGUGAGUCUGUGUGUGUGCGUGUGUGUCUGCGUGUGUGCAUGUCUGUGUGUGUGUCUGUGUGUCUGCGUGUCUGUGUGUGUGUCUUGCAUGUGUGUCAGUAUGUAAUAGAUACCUGGCGUUGGGCCCAAUCACAGGAAGUAAUGUCUGGGAGUCACUGACCCAGUAGACACACACAUGAAGCAGUAGACACACACAUAAACACAAAUACAUAUACACACACACACACACACACACACACUCGCUCACGGACAGACAGACAGACAGACAGACAGACAGACAGACAGACAGACAGACAGACAGACAGACAGACAGACAGACACACUUUUACACACUUACAGAACAAUACACUUACUCACACUCAAUCAUGGCUGUUUUUGUUAGAAAGGUAGUAUCUUAAAUAAAUCUGUACUGUUUCGGUAACAGUAUCCCAGCUUUGUUUUUGUUUGUUAGUGUAUUUUAAUUGUAAUUUUGUUGUUGUUUGAUUAUUAUUAGUCUGUUUUUUAGUGUUUUGUCUGUGUUUGUUCCUGUGUCAUCUUCUGUGUUUGCCCUCGUCAGUACAGUCCCUGUGCGUCUGUAUGCCCAGUUAUGUGAGGUACUUAAGUUUUAAAAAACUUGAAAGUACUACUUAAGUAGUACCUUGGGGUAUCUAUACUUUACUACUUAUACAACUUUUACUUCACUACAUUCCUAAAGAAAAUAAUGUAUAUUUUCUGACACCCAUUUUGAAUGCUUAGCAGGACAGGAAAAUGGUCCAAAUUCACACACUUAUCAAGAGAACAUCCCUGGUCCUCUACUGCCUCUGAUCUGGAGGACUCACUAAACAGAGAACAUCCCUGGUCAUCCCUACUGCCUCUGAUCUGGAGGACUCACUAAACAGAGAACAUCCCUGGUCAUCCCUACUGCCUCUGAUCUGGAGGACUCACUAAACAGAGAACAUCCCUGGUCCUCCCUACUACCUCUGAUCUGGAGGACUCAC